rnacentral:rRNA from 1 species
UACGGAGGAUGCGAGCGUUAUCCGGAUUUAUUGGGUUUAAAGGGUGCGUAGGUGGAUUUUUAAGUCAGCGGUAAAAUGUCCGGGCUCAACCCCGGCCCGCCGUUGAAACUGGCUGGCUUGAGUUGGGGAAAGGCAGGCGGAAUGCGCGGUGUAGCGGUGAAAUGCAUAGAUAUCGCGCAGAACCCCGAUUGCGGAGGCAGCCUGCCGGCCCCACACUGACGCUGAGGCACGAAAGCGUGGGUAUCGAACAGG